CAAUUAUCUCAAGACUUAAAACUCUUUUUUUUAGCAUUUUAUCUCUUCAUUUACACUGAUUGAAUCGGUGGCAUCAAUAAGGGAUCAUUCACCUGGUCAGUCUGUUAUGUAAAGAGCAGGUGUCUUUAAUGUUUUGUGUACUCAGUGUAUAUUGUGUUCCAUACAGGUUAUAGAAAAAAGCAGAAGUGCUGAACUAUCCAUUCAGAAUUAAUUGUUGUAGUUUUAAGAAAGAAAUGUCCUUUUAAUUUCUAUUUAAUGUUUACAAUCAUAUUUCAAUGAUAUUCUAAUCAUAUUAUGCUUUUCAAUGAUAUUCUGAUUGAAUCUCUCUGUUGGAAAGGAAAUUGUUGGAACUGAAGAAUAAAAAAUAUCCAAUCAGGAUUUUUCUUUGGUCUCUGGGGAGGUAAUCUAAUCUAGCUAGCUAAGACACCCAUUGGCUAGGCCAUCAGGAGCUAGACAGAAGGCAUCUGCCAUUGAGGGGAUUUGAUACAUCUGGCCCGGGUGCCAGAUUAGGUAGGCGUGUUUUGUAACGGGUGAAAGUUUAUUGCAUUCAUUUUGGAACUGGGCUUCCUUCUAGGUUCUUGUGAGACAAGUGCCCAGUUAAAAGCCCAUGGCGAACUCGGCUCAAAACGAAAGUAACGUACUGAUGCACAAAGAGUAAUGAUGAAACGCUUCCCUUUUUGCUAUCUUUGGUUACGUGGCCUGGCCUUUGCUUUCACUGCCUUUUUUGCAUUUGCAAAGUUUUGGCAUAUUCAUUCUGUAACGUACACACUAAUAAUCGGGAAGCAAGUAGUGGGAAUGAAUUAAUUAAAUAAAUAAAUAAACAUAGACCGAAACAAGAAACACGAGUAACAUACAGACAUGAAACAUAUAAACAGAAACAAUAACGCCUGAGGAAAGAACCAAAGGGAAUGACAGAUAUUGGGGAGGUAAUCAGGACGGUGAUGGAGUCCAGGUGAGUCUCAUGAGGCGCAGGUGCGUGUAACAAUGGUGACAGGUGUGCGUAAUAAUGAGUAAACUGGCUACAAGGAGUGCCAGAGACGAGGAGCGGGAGUAGACAAGACACAUUCCGUGUAGGCGGGGUUUAGAGAGGAGGCAUCGAUGACAUGUCUCCAUUGGCUAGCUAGCUGGCAAUGCUAACAGACAACAGUGUUUUCUGCUAACUAGCCAGCUAGUGUAUAAAAUAGCUUUUAUUACAUUUUUCCAUUUCAGAUAAAAAGGGUUCAGUGGCUACUAGUUAGCUAGCUAGCCCACUGGGACUGACUAGCCUAGCUAGCUAACAUUAACUUUACAACAAUGAGGACAUCAUGAAACACCCUAAGAAAGCAAGAUACUUGGAAGUUGCUCGAGUGGUAUGUGGCUAUUAUAGAACAAGCACUUUUCAUGACUCCAGUGCUGUUUGGCCUUGGGUUCUUGAGAGAUAUGGCUGGAAGAGAGUGGUGGCAGACAACAGUGGAGGGCAUCUUCACUAAGUGGCGAGAACGUGUAGGAGAUCAUCCUCAUGGAGUUCAUCUAUUUGAGCUGAUUCAAGAAACUAUGAGAAGGGAGUGGUUCAGCUGACUAACGUCACUGCUGUGUGCAGGCACGCCCAGCAGCUCCUCCAGCAGACUGCCCACUCCUGUCUUCCAGAUGCUGCUAACAUCAGCAAGCUGAGGACGCUCUCCCAUGGGAAGCAAGGGUUGGAGUGACAGCAAAAUGUCUGAAAAAUGACUUGAUGCCCUUCAUGGAUUUAAUGCAAUGGAUUGCUACAACCAUGGUUGGGGGGAGUUCCACCAUAUUCCUUAUACCACCAGUUAAUUCAUUUUAAGCCUAUGAGGGGGAUUGUAUGAAUGCAUACUUCAGCUUAUGGGUAGAGCGUUGGCUUGUGUCCUGAUUCUUCACCCUUCCUCCUAAAGUGUGCACUAGUUCAGUGUUCCUCAUUCUGUUCAUGUGCAUUUGAAACCAAAGAGCCAUUAAAUAUUCCAUACAUAGCUAGUCACCAUGUUAUUAUAAUUCUCACUUACCUACCAGACCGUCAGGUUGGUGAGUGUAACAGAUCAGCUACAGUAAGUUACAGUGAACUUUACAAUAAUUAACUUGCAAACCCAGCUGCUAUUAAGCCUUUGAAAAAGUACAGUAAUUUCUUAACAAUUCAACUCUUGAUUGUCACACGUUCUUCCAACAAGUGCAGAAUUGACAGUGUCAAAACAGAUGCUCAACUUUCAUCAACAUAAUGAUAAAACCACUUACUGGUACAACAUUUCCACUGACUGUUGGCAUAAAUACUCCAUAUUUUAGACCAUGUCCCCAAAUAUGCUAAUGAGCUGCUGCCAGUACAUUUCCCCCACCUACAUUACAAAGUGCUGUAAUGAUUGUACCAAAUCCUGCAUUCGUAACCAAGGGAGAAGUGGGAAUUUACCACAUCCACUUAAACGGCCCUCCAAAUGGUAACUACUAGUGGAAAAUGUGUCUAUGUCACAGGUGUAGCCGUGUUGUAUUGACCAAAACGCAGCCGGGAUAUGUAUGCCCAUCUUUAAUUAUAUUUGCAUAAAGUGAACACAGGAAAACAAUAAACAAGAACGACUAGUAACAGUUUUACAGGCUAUACAGAUACUUUAGCAGUGUAAAAUAAAACAACCCACAACCAAGAGAAAAACACACACCUAAUAUAUAACUCCCAAUCAGGAACAACGAUAUCCAGCUGUUCCUGAUCGGGAGUCACACAGACUAACACAGAAACAGAACAACUAGAAACUACAUACAACACACAACUUCUGCCACGUCCUGACCAAAUACUAAACAACUACUCCCUCUGCUGGUCAGGACGUGACAGUCUAUCAUCCCUGAGCUCCGACUUCUCCCACAUUCUGACAUCAUCUACUAAGGAAAUUACCUUGAUAACCGCAUUUUCGACAGUUAAUUGUAACAACAAAACAUUAUUUAUAAAAAGCAAUCUAUUAAUAUGUUUACUUAACUCUAUCAUUUGUUUACAAGCAUAUUAGCUGUACUUUUAAUUUAUGGUUGACGUAGCUUGUUGGCCAUUAGCAAAUUUGGCAAUUCUUAACCAAUUCAAAGCACAUGAAUGAAUCCAACUGGAAUUUACGACUAAACAACUGGUAAAGCUAUAUAAAAUUGUCUUAAUAAGGUCAUACCAAGGAUCAUUUAGCUGUUUGAUUUUGAAUUUUAAGACACAUUUCUAUUUGAUGAAAAAUGUUAUAAUAUAUAUUACGGCCUAAAGGGACACUGACCUUUCUGCUGCACCACAAAGUCUAGCAGUUACAUACACGUUCAUUAGCUAUGCUCUUCUGCAACAUAGCACUGCUAUUUUAGUUAUCAGUUAUUCUGACUAUUCUCUAGUCAUUGAUUUAAUUUACUUAUUUGAACAAUUUUAAGGUUUUCUGUAUAGUUGUCUAAUGUUGAUGUGGCAUAUUAUUCUGUUUUAAUGUUCCUCCUGAAUCACUAUAAUA